rnacentral:misc_RNA from 1 species
AACGCACGAGACCUGCGGACCUGCGGAAGGAUCAUUAAUGAGAAGCUGCCCCUCGUGGGUAGACCUCCCACCCUCUGUGAACUUACCUUUGUUGCUUUGGCAGGCCCGUCCUCUGGACCGCCGGCUUCGGCUGGCCCGUGCCUGCCAGAGGAUUCCAAACCCUGUCUAUCAGUGUUGUCUGAGUCUAUAUGAAAUCGUUAAAACUUUCAACAAUGGAUCUCUAGAUCGGAAGAGCACACG